rnacentral:rRNA from 1 species
GAUGAACGCUGGCGGCGUGCCUAAUACAUGCAAGUCGAGCGAACGGACGAGAAGCUUGCUUUUCUGAUGUUAGCGGCGGACGGGUGAGUAACACGUGGAUAACCUACCUAUAAGACUGGGAUAACUUCGGGAAACCGGAGCUAAUACCGGAUAAUAUUUUGAACCGCAUGGUUCAAAAGUGAAAGACGGCCUUGCUGUCACUUAUAGAUGGAUCCGCGCUGCAUUAGCUAGUUGGUAAGGUAACGGCUUACCAAGGCAACGAUGCAUAGCCGACCUGAGAGGGUGAUCGGCCACACUGGAACUGAGACACGGUCCAGACUCCUACGGGAGGCAGCAGUAGGGAAUCUUCCGCAAUGGGCGAAAGCCUGACGGAGCAACGCCGCGUGAGUGAUGAAGGUCUUCGGAUCGUAAAACUCUGUUAUUAGGGAAGAACAUAUGUGUAAGUAACUGUGCACAUCUUGACGGUACCUAAUCAGAAAGCCACGGCCAACUACGUG